rnacentral:rRNA from 1 species
AUUGAACGCUGGCGGCAGGCCUAACACAUGCAAGUCGAGCGAGAGGAGGACGGGUGAGUAAUUUAUUGGCACCUGCCCGAUAGAGGGGUAUAACUGCUGGAAACGGUGGCUAAUACUGCUAACUAUCGGAUGAGGUCAUAUGGGAUGGGCUAGUAGCUGGGGUAAAGGCUCACCUAGGCGACGAUCUCUAGCUGGUCUGAGAGGAUGAUCAGCCACACUGGGACUGAGACACGGCCCAGACUCCUACGGGAGGCAGCAGGGGGGAAUCUUGCACAAUGGGCGCAAGCCUGAUGCAGCCAUGCCGCGUGUAUGAAGAAGGCCUUCGGGUUGUAAAGUACUUUCAGCGGGGAGGCGUUACCCGCAGAAGAAGCACCGGCUAACUCCGUGCCAGCAGCCGCGGUAAUAC